rnacentral:rRNA from 1 species
UACGUAGGUGGCAAGCGUUGUCCGGAUUUACUGGGCGUAAAGAGCGCGCAGGCGGUCGGAUCAGUCGAAUGUGAAAGCCCCCGGCUCAACUGGGGAGGGUCAUUCGAUACUGUCCGACUCGAAGGCAGGAGAGGGAAGCGGAAUUCCCGGUGUAGUGGUGAAAUGCGUAGAGAUGUGGAGGAACACCAGUGGCGAAGGCGACUCUUUGGUCUGUAACUGACGCUGAGGCGCGAAAGCGUGGGGAGCAAACAGG